AUGGCUCGAGAUUGGAGUUGGAUGGAUAUGAAUAGGGAUUCCGCGGAGUGGCGGAGUGGCAUUAAGGCAUUUUUAGAUUUGGCUUUUGACGGUAGUCCUGGAAGGUCAACCGCUUUAUGCCCAUGUAGAAGAUGUCUCGAUGCUAUUUACAAGGAAAGGGACGAAGUACACCUUGACCUGCUCAUGAAUGGGAUGGAUGUCGGUUAUACUUGCUGGAAAUACCAUGGAGAGGGUUCAGAUGACGAAAGUACGGCUGAAGGAUCUGAAGGUGAAGGGGUGAGAGGUGAUGACUUUGCAGUUCGUGAUUUGCUCAACACUCUCAUACGUAGCACCGAGCCAGAAAGUAGCAAAACCACAGGUGAAGGUACUAGUGAAGAGAUGUUACAUGAUGACGGUAAUAUCCCAGAAGGGUCUACAGAAGGUAGAAGUAACGAAGAGGCAGGUGGAUGUGCCAAGGCUUUCUUUGCUUUGUUGAAGGAUGCUAAAAAGGAGUUGUACCCUGGUUGCAAGGAGCUCACAAAGCUUUCUUUCAUUGUGAGACUCUACCAGAUAAAGUGCUUGUUUGGGUUGAGCAACAGGGCAUGUGAGGCAGUACUU
rnacentral:rRNA from 1 species